rnacentral:lncRNA from 7 species
AGGCUCGUCACCCAGUGGUGGCCCAGCGGGUGCCCAUUGCCGGGGACGCCCUGCAGAAAUAAAAGAAGGCUUGCAGCUACCAGAAAGUCAUUAAGGCAUUAGUUUCCCCGAGAAGACAGAUCUGAAGAAAAUUCAAGAAAAUGGGAAAAUUGAUAGAAAGAAGGUGGAGCUGAAUACAAUGUCUGCAUUUGUGGCUAACUCCAAGCAAUACAUUAUGAAGAUGAUGUUAUUCAGACACACACCCAAACAAUUUGAUUCAGACAAAUUGGAUACGAGACUUUGACCAGCAUGAGAAGAACAGGCAAGUCCAAAUCCCACCAACACAAGCCCUGCUGGACUAAGAGGCAGGCUGUACUGUGCACCUGCCCUGGAAAGAAGUGUUUCUGUGAAACUGCUCUUGAGCAACAUGGUAGCUCCUGUUGGGCAGCCUUGAGAGGCUUUGCACGUUAGAAAACGUGCCACUAUUUUACCUUGGCAUCUGUUCAAAGUACUAAUUCUGUGGAUCAGUGUCUUUCAGAUGAAGAAAGUAGGAUCCUUUUGUGUCCCUGGUGUCUCAGUAAAUUGAUAUCAAAUACUCUAAUGAAAAGAGAACUGUUGUCAGCAGAAGCAAGCAGCAAGAAAAUCUGGGGCAGUAGGUAACUUCGUGAUGUGUUCUCCAUCCUCAGGGACUUUCAGUGCUCUGAGGAUUAAUUUUCCAUUACAUACACGUGUGGUGCCUUUCUUAAAUACACUUCCACUAACAACUUAAUACUUUUUUCCAAUUAACAAGUAUCAUAAAACACUACAACUUUUCUGUCCUUCUGUCCCUUUGAAGCCCGCGCUUUCAGCACUGUGAGCAUUGUUACUCCCCUGUACUCUUCCUGAAUGAAGCAUCUUUUUGCUGCUCAACUGAAGCCAUGUUUUUGAGCAGAGAGGAUACUGAGCACCCUAUUGUGGAUACAGGUGGAAAAGGACCUUCGGAACUGCACUUCUGCAGGGAUUUAUUUGUGAAUUCUCAUCUCCACGAUAGCUGUCUAAGUCUCCUGCAAAUACAUCUUAUGCACCAGAGACUGUGUGAAAUGCUUUAUUUUAGUUUAUUUGUUCCAGACUUAUUUCCCACUCUAUGGACACAUCC